AAGGUCAGUUUUGGUCAGUUCUCACUCUCUUUUUUGCUCAUGCCUUCAGCAAUGAAUUUCGUCACGCCUUUCCAAUUGCAAUGUUUUCACAAAAUCCCCAUCCAUUCUCUUGACCAGGGUGUGAAUUAUGGGGGGGUUAGGGGGUCUGACCUCCCUAAUUAAAGCUUGAAGCUUCCCAAAGCAGACAAAACAAAAGAUUUGGGGCAUCUUUUAAAAAAAAUAAUUCAGUAAUAAUUAAUUUAUUUUAAUUUCUUUUUUUUUUUUUUUUUUUUUUUUUUUUUUUUUUUUUUUUUUUUUUUUUUUUUUUUUUUUGGCAAGAGCUGCUUAUAAGAAUUGCCUCUUGGAACAACAUGAGGUUUUCGGAGGCUUUGAAAUCCAGACUCAAAAGUGGAGGUGGAUCCCAGCAGGAACAAGGCCCAUCUCUCUGCCCCAGAGGAGACGUACUGCCACAGGGUCCAGAGAUGAGCCUUUGCCCGUCCGCUCUCUGUUCUUGGCCACUUCUUGGUGACAUCAUCCAGGAAGUGACAUCACUUUUGGAGGGACAACAGAAGCACAGACAUAAAUGAGAGACCAUCCGAACGUCAGCAUUACUUAUUACAAGACUUCUUUUCAUCCAGACCGUCCAUCUGAUACUCGCUAGCAAGUCAAGGAGGUAAAAACCUGACAGUUACAUUUCUCCUCCUCCAAAUUCUCACAAUUUCCUUGCUAAUUCUCUCUGCAGCGACAGGCCCCUGCCUUCGUGCUCUUGAAGUCCUAACCUUUUAAACUUGAUGUGCAUUGGUAAGGAGAAAUUAGACAAAUGCUUCUGAGUGUGUGAAUAAGAGUGAGACAGGCAGCUGAAGGAAAGUUUUAUUUCUCAUGCGAAUAAAUAUCUGUGUUCAAAAAAUAUCA
ensembl:lncRNA